GUGGAUUUACUAGGAAGGUGGGACGUUGGAGGGGUGGCCGCAUGGAGUGAGUACUGUCUCUGGCCACCGAGCAGAGCCAGUGACAGCAGCGUCCUGGUAGGCAGGCAGGCGUAUCAGGUUUCAGAGGAUGCGGCUGGGAACGGGAGUAGAGGUGAGGGGUCGUUGCAUCUGUCGCGGUGUGUAUCUUUUGGGGGUUCAGCGCCACCAGCGACUUGGGCCUCAUUCAUCGCGCUUACAUUUCUCCACCUCAUUUGAAGAACGAGCUUCGUAGCCCACGGAGCUGAGGUAUAUGAGCUCCCUGAAAGCACAAAGCAGUUAUUUCCAUCUUCAGAUCAUUCAGAGAUUAUGAAGGCACAAACCCUGCCUUCAAUUUGCUUAUAGUCAAGUGGAGCAGACACAAGUCAAUGAUUGCAGUAUAGCCACUGAAGUAAUCUAAAAGAGGUGAGUGUGGCACUUAACCUCUCCUGGGAGGGGGAGGAAUAAGGCAGUGUUUCCAAGAGGUGAUUUUGGAGCUAUACAGGCAUUAGGUAGACAAGGAAGGGGAGGUCCAUUCUGGGUGCCUAGGACUCUGUGGCUGAUUUAUAAAUCGUAAAU
rnacentral:lncRNA from 10 species